rnacentral:rRNA from 1 species
UACGGGGGGGGCAAGCGUUGUUCGGAAUUACUGGGCGUAAAGGGCUCGUAGGCGGCCAACUAAGUCAGACGUGAAAUCCCUCGGCUUAACCGGGGAACUGCAUCUGAUACUGGAUGGCUUGAGAUUGGGAGAGGGAUGCGGAAUUCCAGGUGUAGCGGUGAAAUCCGUAGAUAUCAGGAAGAACACCGGUGGCGAAGGCGGCUGCCUGGACCGAUACUGACGCUGAGACGCGAAAGCGUGGGGAGCAAACAGG